GAGGGUAUAGCUCAGUGGUUACAGCACAUGCUUAUCAUGCACAAGGUCCUGGGUUCAAUCCCCAGUACCUCCA
rnacentral:tRNA from 1 species